CAGCCGCGGUAAUACGAAGGGUGCAAGCGUUAAUCGGAAUUACUGGGCGUAAAGCGCGCGUAGGUGGUUCAUUAAGUUGGAUGUGAAAGCCCUGGGCUCAACCUGGGAACUGCAUCCAAAACUGGUGAGCUAGAGUACGGUAGAGGGUAGUGGAAUUUCCUGUGUAGCGGUGAAAUGCGUAGAUAUAGGAAGGAACACCAGUGGCGAAGGCGACUACCUGGACUGAUACUGACACUGAGGUGCGAAAGCGUGGGGAGCAAACAGGAUUAGAUACCCGCGUAGUCCCUGUCUCUUAUACACA
rnacentral:rRNA from 1 species